CAGAAGCAGAAGCAGAAGCAACCCUAGCUUUCCUGCAAGUUCAACAUUCAUCAGCUUCUGCAAUUCUGCAUCACUUCAAUCUCAAUUUCAAUUCUGCAUCACUUUAACUUCAAUUUCAAUUUCAAUUCUGCAAUUCUGCAUCACUUCAACCUCAAUUUCAAUUCUGCAUCCGUAAAGAUGGAUGACUCAACAACGACGACAACUCCUCACCACCGGACUCAGCCCAAGUCCGCCUCGAGGCUCUCCAAGCUCCGCCAUUACAGCCAGGAGGAGGGGGGAUCGGGAACCCCCACAACCCCCCAGCUGUCUCUCGAAAUAGUCCAGUCGUCUUCCCCAAAAAUCUCUACUCCAUCCCCUGCAUCCACUGUUUCGCCCAAGCCCCCUUACUCUCUCCCUCUCCAAGACCUCUUACUCCUCUCCCCUUCCCCUUCCCCUUCACCACUCAAAAGGUCAUCCAAAUCCCGCCUCCUCGACAUGGCGGAGGACGCCGCCAUUGAGACCGCCGGAGUUAGAAAACGAUGCAAGACAAGGAAUUCAGCAUCCGGCUGUGCUGCUGCUGCAUCCCCAAGAGGAGGUCGAAGAUCAAGGAGAAGAUUGGAGCAAGAUGCCAGAGAAGAGAGAGAGCUUGCUGCUGCAGGGGGAGAUGUUUCGAUUAAGCCGAGGAAGAAGAAAACUAGCGAAAGGUCGAGGACUGGUAAAUCCAUUCAGACUCAUCCAGUUCCAUCGCCAAGUGGUGGAGAUGGGUACAAUCUCAACGCCACCGGGGAGGCCAUACACGAUUUGAUCAUGUGGAAAGAUGUCUCGAAAUCCAGCCUAUGGUUUGGGUUGGGAUCGCUUUCGAUCAUGUCAUCUUGCUUCGUAAAGGGAGUUCAUUACAGCAUGUUCUCAUUCAUGUCUCAAGUGGGACUUCUGUUCUUGGGGUUGUCGUUCUUCUCCAAUACAAUGCGACAAAGGGAGGGAAAGAGCAAUAGUAAGGCCGAUCAGUUUAAGCUGAAGGAAGAAGAUAUACUGAGAUUCGGCAGGUUAAUACUUCCGGCUGCGAAUCUAGCAAUCUCGAAAACAAGAGAAAUCUUCUCAGGAGAGCCAGCCAUGACCCUUAAAGUGAUUCCGAUCUUUCUUUUGGGAGCCGAGUAUGGCCAUUGCAUUACAUUGUGGAGACUCUGUGCACUUGGUUUCUUUAUCAGCUUCACUGCCCCAAAAUUGUAUUCGACUUACUCUUCGCAACUAGAUAAGAAAGUCGAGUAUCUAAAACAAUGGGCUAUGGAUAUUUGGGAAGGCUGCACGCAUAAGAAAAUCGUAGCUGCAUCAGCUGUAAUGGCGUUUUGGAAUCUCACGUCCAUCAGAACGCGAAUAUUUGCAGCAUUCUUGUCCCUUGUGAUAGUUAGAUAUCGCAGGCAGCACCUUGUUGCGACGGAGGAAGAUAACAACGAUAAUGCAGGAGAAUCGAAACUAGAGGUGGACGAGGAGGAAAGGGCAUUAGUUGCAGUAGAGACUGAAUCCAAGAAAUAACAAGUAGAAUUGAUUAUUGAUUACAUGACGUCGUGUUGUCGUCUCUAUCGCCCGUAAACUUGUCUGUUUGUUUGUAUUGCUGUAUCUCUUGUGUCAAUCACAUUUAUUUUCUAAAAGUGAGGUUAGAGAUGAAAGAUAUGAAAUGAAGGCGGCAGAAGCAGAACACGUGCCGUAUCUGCGCAGAAUGUUAAUGUUGUUCCUUUCGUGCCGUAUGUAAACAAAGGGUGAAAGCUAAUCUAGUUGUUGAAAAGUUGA